UGCCUGGUUAGCAUUAGCAUUGGUUCAGGCCAGUGAUUGAAAUAACAAACAGGCUUAUGUUUCUACAUGACAGUAAGUUUGUUGGACUAAUGCAUGGGUGGAAUUUGUUCAUUGGAAUCUUGUGACAAAAACGGUGUCCAACUAUGGCCACAUGGAUUUUGGCUACAAGCAACCAGGAAAGCAUUAGUUUUACUCUGCAUGGGAAAUUCUGUCUGAAGACCAGAAACACAAAGGCUGUUUUACACCAGGGCCGCUGGCAGGACAGGAAGGACAGGAAGUUAAGAGUUUAUGUGGCAACUUUAGGCUGUGUUGGGUCCAGCAGCUCCAUCAUGUAAUCUGUGUCAACCUGUAAGGUGACCACAUCACUACGGAGCAGCACCCAUGUCAGGCAGGGCAAGAAAUCAUCUGCUCCAAAAACGCAGGCGCAGGUUGCUUUGGAGACGCCCGAAGGUGCCAUCAUUGGUCCGGGAGGUGUGAAUACAGGAGCAGAGGUGCGCGGA